rnacentral:rRNA from 1 species
UACGGGGGGAGCAAGCGUUGUUCGGAUUUACUGGGCGUAAAGGGCGCGUAGGCGGCGUAACAAGUCACUUGUGAAAUCUCCGGGCUUAACCCGGAGCGGCCAAGUGAUACUGUUGUGCUAGAGUGCGGAAGGGGCUACUGGAAUUCCGGGUGUAGCGGUGGAAUGCGUAGAGAUCCGGAAGAACACCGGUGGCGAAGGCGGCCUGCUGGGCUAUGGCUGACACUGAGGCGCGACAGCGUGGGGAGCAAACAGG